UCCCCGGUAGCUCAAUCGGUAGAGCGCUCGCCUGUUAAGCGAUAGGUUGCUGGUUCGAGUCCAGCCCGGGGAG
rnacentral:tRNA from 1 species